AAACGUAGGGGGCGAGCGUUGUUCGGAAUCAUUGGGCGUAAAGGGCGUGCAGGCGGUCCUGCAAGUCCGGCGUGAAAGACCCCGGCCCAACCGGGGGGAGGCGCUGGAAACUGCAGGGCUUGAGUACCGGAGGGGAUGCCGGAAUUCCAGGUGUAGGGGUGAAAUCUGUAGAUAUCUGGAAGAACACCAAUGGCGAAGGCAGGCAUCUGGCCAUGUACUGACGCUGAGACGCGAAGGUGCGGGGAGCAAACAGGUUUAGAUACCCUGGUAGUCCGCACAGUAAACGAUGUGCACCAGGUGGCGGGGGGUCGACCCCCGGUACCGUAGCUAACGCAUUAAGUGCACCGCCUGGGGAGUAUGCUCGCAAGGGUGAAACUCAAAUGAAUUGACGGGG
rnacentral:rRNA from 1 species